GGGGGUACACGAGCGGCGAACGGGUGAGUAACACGUGGGUGACCUGCCCUCCACUCUGGGAUAAGCCCGGGAAACUGGGUCUAAUACCGGAUAGGACCACUGAUCGCAUGGUUGGUGGUGGAAAGUUUUUUCGGUGGGGGAUGGGCCCGCGGCCUAUCAGCUUGUUGGUGGGGUGAUGGCCUACCAAGGCGGUGACGGGUAGCCGGCCUGAGAGGGCGACCGGCCACACUGGGACUGAGACACGGCCCAGACUCCUACGGGAGGCAGCAGUGGGGAAUAUUGCGCAAUGGGCGGAAGCCUGACGCAGCGACGCCGCGUGGGGGAUGACGGCCUUCGGGUUGUAAACCUCUUUCGCCAGGGACGAAAAGCAAUUGACGGUACCUGGAGAAGAAGCACCGGCCAACUACGUGCCAGCAGCCGCGGUAACACGUAGGGUGCGAGCGUUGUCCGGAAUUAUUGGGCGUAAAGAGCUCGUAGGCGGUGUGUCGCGUCGGCCGUGAAAACUUGGGGCUUAACUCUGAGCGUGCGGUCGAUACGGGCAUCACUUGAGUUCGGCAGGGGAGACUGGAAUUCCUGGUGUAGCGGUGAAAUGCGCAGAUAUCAGGAGGAACACCGGUGGCGAAGGCGGGUCUCUGGGCCGAUACUGACGCUGAGGAGCGAAAGCGUGGGGAGCGAACAGGAUUAGAUAC
rnacentral:rRNA from 1 species